rnacentral:lncRNA from 1 species
UCCAUCCACAUGUAGAAUCCAUGCAGGCUUCGGAGUCUCUUUUUGAAAUAGAUCCUCGACUUGACUAUCGUUAGUUGGCAUGCAUUCGACAAUAAAAUCGGCAAGUAUUUGAGCCUUCAUUGAGGAUUGUGGGACAUAAGAAAGAUUGAACUUGCUAAGUUUGACCAUCCAUUUGGCCAUUCUUCUCGAAGUAUCUGACCAUUGGAGUAGAGUCCUUAGGGGG